rnacentral:lncRNA from 1 species
CGGCUAUCCAUCUUCCAAAGAAAACUCUUUUGAUCGGACCGGUACAUUAUCGAUAGAUGUAUCCUAUUGAAAGGUAAAGAAGUUAUACGUAUUUUGUCAUAUCAAUUAUAAGAUGUAAAAAUAUUUCUAAAAUUUAAAUUUAUUUUUAUUUGUAGAUUCUUGUGCACCUUAAAAAAGUAUGUGCGCAAUAAAGCAAGGCCUGAAGGGUCUAUAGCGGAAGUAUAUGUAGCUAUCGAGUGUCUCAUAUUCUGUUCGAUGUAUCUUGAUGAUAUCGAAACAAGAUUUAAUCAUGC